rnacentral:rRNA from 1 species
UACGUAGGGUGCAAGCGUUAAUCGGAAUUACUGGGCGUAAAGCGUGCGCAGGCGGUUGUGCAAGACAGAUGUGAAAUCCCCGGGCUCAACCUGGGAACUGCAUUUGUGACUGCACGGCUGGAGUGCGGCAGAGGGGGAUGGAAUUCCGCGUGUAGCAGUGAAAUGCGUAGAUAUGCGGAGGAACACCGAUGGCGGAAGGCAGCCCCCUGGGCUAACACUGACGCUCAUGCACGAAAGCGUGGGGAGCAAACAGG